GUUUGGAUAGCUCAAGUGAUUAGAGCAAAGGAUUGAAAAAUCUUUGUGUCAAUGAGUCAAAUCCACUUCUAAACA
rnacentral:tRNA from 1 species